AUGCGGCACCUGGGAUGGCCCUGCGUGGAAGGUGGCACCCUGCCUCCUCCCUCAGUCACCACCCUCCACCUCACCAACCUGGCUGACUGCAUUUUCUGCUCCUACUGUCAUCUGUGGAAAUGCAGACUGGGUGUGAAGAGGUGUUUCUGUGCCCGGAGAUCCAGUUUACGCUUAGGGGUCUGUGCCACCCUCUCCAUGGAGACCUCAGGCGUCCACACCAAAAGGCAGCUUUGGAUUCAGCUCUGCAUCUUUGGAACAGACAUCUUCAUCCAUGCAGUAAGGCUGCUGGUGUCUGACCCAGGGUGCCCCAGCCACAGCGAGCAGCAAAACCCGCUUCCUCUGCAGUGUUUCCAUGGCUGGAGAUAGAUCUGUUUGAUUCAAAGAAGACAGCAAAGUCGCUACAGAAUAUAGCCAGUUUGUCAGCACCAUUAUUCUUGGAGCACCUCUGGGGCAUGAUGGGGAUGCCAUCGUCAUGGCUUUAGCAGGUGUCCUCGGGUAACAUGGAUGAGGAUCAGGCCUGUGUUUAAAUGUGAAUUUCUUCAGUUAAUGAGUAAGCACAUCUACCCCGAGAUUGGAGUUGGAACUUUUGGUAGCAUUCGGGGUACACGCUCCAAGGAGGUAUACAAUAAUGUCUUUAGGCAUUGUUCAGACAGUAGCUUCUUUAUUCUUUUUGGCGACUCUUGUCUUUGAUUUGGCAACCAAAGGACUUCAGGAUUCAUGCAAUGAUAAAGCAUGAUAAGAAAGGACAAGAAUUUGAGGAAACAGAAUCUCUGAGGAAGUACUAUGGCUGCCCCUCAUACAGCAUUUCCUGGGUGCUGGGUACAAGAACUAGCUCUGGCUCACUCGAUGCUCAUAUGGAUUCCAGGAGGAAGAUCUUAUGCCCCAAUUCUCCAGAUGAAGAAGAUGAAGCUAGAAGAAAUUAAUUCCUUUGGCAACUCAUGCCUGGUCUUCUAAUUUACCAUGCUCCCUCCCAAGGCAUCAUGCUGAGUAGUGACAUCUAUACUUCAAGUUGCUACUAUUGGUCUGGCUUGGGAAAUGAGGUUUCCAUUAGGGUUGCCUCUGAUACAGUGUAUCAGCCUGGAGCAGAAACACCAGCGAGCUUGUAAAGCUCGGGAUCCUGGCUGGGUCCCUGAGAUUCUGAGUCAGCAGGUCUCUUGCAGGAAGGGUGAUUUGCUGCUGGCUCAUGCUGAUGUGGCUGCAGACCUGGGCUCCAUCGUUGGACCGCAUCCGAAUUGAAAUUCUGACCCAGCCAAUUAGUGGGUGGCUUGGGAAACUACUUAGCCUCCUUGGACUUGCUUACUCAUCUUGAAAAUACGGAUUUACAGAGCAGCUACUACACAGAGUUGUGGGGAUUAGAUGAGCUAAGCCUCGUGAAGUACUUAAACUGAUAGCUCCUGGGUGGGGUUUGCUUUAAUUGACAACCCAUGAGAUGGUGAUGUCCUGGGUGGAAGAAAGCCCUGUGGCCUUGGAACCAGAAAGUUUGCAUCCUGUCUGAGCUGCUUCCCGAAG
rnacentral:lncRNA from 1 species